AUUGAACGCUGGCGGCAUGCUUUACACAUGCAAGUCGAACGGUAACAGGCCGCAAGGUGCUGACGAGUGGCGAACGGGUGAGUAAUGCAUCGGAACGUGCCCAGUCGUGGGGGAUAACGCAGCGAAAGCUGUGCUAAUACCGCAUACGAUCUAUGGAUGAAAGCGGGGGACCGUAAGGCCUCGCGCGAUUGGAGCGGCCGAUGUCAGAUUAGGUAGUUGGUGGGGUAAAGGCCUACCAAGCCGACGAUCUGUAGCUGGUCUGAGAGGACGACCAGCAACACUGGGACUGAGACACGGCCCAGACUCCUACGGGAGGCAGCAGUGGGGAAUUUUGGACAAUGGGCGCAAGCCUGAUCCAGCAAUGCCGCGUGCAGGAAGAAGGCCUUCGGGUUGUAAACUGCUUUUGUACGGAACGAAACGGUCCUGGUUAAUACCUGGGGCUAAUGACGGUACCGUAAGAAUAAGCACCGGCUAACUACGUGCCAGCAGCCGCCGUAA
rnacentral:rRNA from 1 species